UGUUUGCGUUAGGGUUGGGAGCGUUAUCUCCCGAUUUAGAAAAACAAGGCUUUUUUAUCCGUAGUUUUUGUUAAUCGGGAAUAAAGCAGACAGCCCGAUCCGCC
rnacentral:misc_RNA from 1 species